AUGUCAGUUGAAGCACUUGCAAUGGCUGGUGUUGAUUACAUGGAAAUGGAGCAUAGGUUUAAAAAGAUAAUAACAGAGUCACCAAAGGCUACUAAACGUGAGAGUAGUCAUGGGAUUAUUGGGAGGGAUGAUGAUGAGUGGGUGAAGUUGAAGAUGCGGGAAUGGGCUACGGCUGUUGCUUCGAACAAUGAAACCAAUGCUAAUCGUAGAGUUUCUGAGAUUCUUCUUAUCAUCAAUAAUCAUCGUCACAAUCACAUGAGAGGGAAUUAA